CUUUACCAGAGUAUAGAGAAAUUCUGCGUUAGUUAUUGACACAUGCACUCAUUUGGUAACAUUUUUCUUUUGUCUUGGAUUAUUCUUUUUCUUUCCUCUGCAGCUUGCCCUCUCCAGUGAUAAGCUGUCAUCAUUACAGAUGCCGCUUGUAAACCUCGAUCUAGAUAUUCAAGAAAAUGGUGCUAUUACUCCAGUGUCUAUUGAGAUGAACAAAGAGGAAUUGCAGAAUCUUAUAAACUCAUUGGAGGCAGCAAAUAAGGUACGUCAUAAAACCUAUAUCUCAUAAAUCUGGCAUUGUUUGUAUGUUUGCAAAGAAAACCAUUUGGCCUCCAACUGGUGGAACACUAAAAAGAACUUGCACAACUCAAGAAAAAUACAUUUAUAUAGAGGAUGCAUUAAAAAAGUAAUAUAAAAAAAAUUAAUUCAAAUUUGUCUAAAUGUUGGCCUACCAGCAGGUCUUCUGUCUUGUAACUUUGAAGUGCCGUAUGGGUGAUCACAUGACCUGCGUAAUGGACUACAGUUUUGUGAUUUGGAUUUCUGGCCAUGGCAUCAGAAAGAGGACUGACAGGAGAAGGAGCUAUUUUUUUUUCUCCUUUUUUGGUGGUGGUGUGGGGGGAAAUAAACAGCUUAGUUUGCCAUGAUGGACAAGAGGUCUGUCCAAAGAUGUGGGAUACAUGUUCUGUUUAAUUUAUUUGAUUUUUUUUCACAGGUCAAGUAAAUAGAUCAAAAGAGGUGGGAAGUGGGAGGAGAAUUUAAACCACUAUUGGGGUUAUUUAUUAAAGUGUGAAUUCUUAGUGAAUUUCAAAUUUAAGGUCAAAACAGCCAAAUGGAAAACAUGAUUUAAGUCAGCUAAGCUUUCAUUUUGGAUACUCUGGUCUUAAAUUUAAUAAAUAACCCUGUGGUUUUCCAAGCAACAUUCUACUAGACAUGUUAUUACCUAUUCAUGGAAAAAUCCCAGCAUACACGGAUUGUCUUAUUUUUAUUUUUUUUACCCUUGCUGUACCAGUGUGGGAGAUAGCCAGUGUCAUUGAUCCUAGUGUGAGACUGGUUAGGUUACUGUUGUUCCUAGCCAGUGCCACAUCAAUCAUGAGCCUGUUUAAUUGAUCCUGGUGUGCGAUUGGUGAGGUGCCUAGCCAAUAUAUUCCAAGGAUGAUAUUUGGACAAGCUGAAGCAAAACAUGGACAAAGAUCAGACUACACAAACUGAUCACGAUGGGAUUCUGCCAAACCUAAUGUUUCAGCUGUGCACUAGACUACUGGCAAAUAUCCGCAAUAGGUAGACAUUUGUAACAAUUGAUAUAUCCCUUAAUGUAAGGGGAGAAAAAGAUCUCAGUUCUACCGUUUAGUUCCUGUUCACCAGUAAAUGGUAUUUGUUUUUCAACAUGAACACUUUGGGUUGUUUAUAGCCACCAAGAUGGUUUCAGACUGAAAAAAAACUGUGUGAGAGAAAAACAUAAUAAACUUUAACUAUUGUGCUACUUGUUUGCAGGUUGUUCAACAGUUGAAAUGACUGGAAUCAGAAUAUCAUAACACUUCAGUGAAAACCUUAACAUGUUCCUGAUGUGGCAAGAGUUUUCUGUACUAAUUUUAAAUGAUUAGGAUGGUAAACAUCAUGGAGAUCAUCGAAUGUAUACAGGCUCGUGAAAUGUUCUUACUUCGUGAAUUGGCAGUGUAUGGAAGCCAACUACAGACUGAACAGAAUCCCUUCCAUGUUGGAGGGAGAUAUUUCAAUUAAGUCUUCUAAUUCCGAGGAAUGAAGUAUAUAAUUUUUCAUUGUACUGAAUUUCUUCACAUUGUCUUUGUUUUCCUGUAAACCAUUUGUGAUAAUAACAGAACUAUAUUUUGUUUACCAUUUUCGUAAUUACAUCAAAUGGUUGUUUUCUCUGAUCCAGGUGUAUGUUUAAAUGCUUGUUUAACAGUGCACAAUGUAAUCUUAUGAUUUAAUUCACUUCAAUACACAUUUAAUUUUUUUAACUCUGUCUUUUUAUAUGGAUUCUUUAAACUUAAAUUAGUGACUGUCAUUGACAUGCACCCUAUGUGCUGCACAGGUAUUUUUAGUAUAGUUAGGAUGAAUGGAGAAACAAAAAAAAAAGGGGGUGAUUUGUAAAAUAUUUCUAUUUUUAAAGGGGUACUCAAAGCACUAAAAACACUACAUCUGAAUGUAUUUAUUUUAGUGCAUAGAUGCUGCCCCUUUUAUUCACCAACAUAAAACAUUGCUGUUUCUAAGAAACAGCAAUAUUAAAAUUUAGUGAAACACACCUUUAAUGACUCUCAUACAGACAGCAGUUAGAUGCACUUGCUAGUCAUGAAAUUACAUUUUCAAAAGGUACUAAUGUUCAGUAUCAUUGCACACACUGUUGAUGCAGCUAGGAGCAACAAACGCUUCUUAGGAUUGGAUUGUUAGAUCAAGGUGAUUGCGGCAUGUGUGCCAUUGGUCUACAGCAGGGUUUUUUUUUUUUUUUUUUUAUAUAAGCAGCAUUGGAUUGGACCAUAGAUCAUCAUAAUUGAUUAUCUCAUCGUGGACAGAUUAAAGGAACACUAUAGUCACCAUAAAAAUUUACCUUAAUUAAUCCGUUUUGGUGUAUAGAUCAUGCUCCUGCAGUCUCACUGCUCAAUUCUCUGCCAUUUAGGAGUUAAAAACCUUUGUUUAUGCAGACUUACACAGCAUUCCUAAACACGUCCUGUAAAGAGUAAUCUAAUAUUUAAACUUCCUUUCUUGCAACUUCUGUUUAAUUUAGAAUUUCUUAUCUUCUGAUGUGUUAACAGCUUACUAGAUCAUGCAGGAUCCUCCUGCGUGUGAUUAAAGUUCAAUUUACAGAGCAGGAGAUAAGAACUCUUAAAGUAAAUUAACAUCUGAUUGAAAAUUAAACCAUUUUGUUUUCUUGCUGGCUGUGUGACUCACAUCCAGGGGAGGUGUGGCUAGCGCUGCAUAAACAGAAACAAAAGUGGCAGUGAAUUGAGCAGGAAAUGAUCUAUACACAGAAAUUGCUUCAUUAAGAAAGUUAUUUUGGUGACGAUAGUGUCCCUUUAACCCCUUAAGGACACAUGACAUGUGUGACAUGUCAUGAUUCCCUUUU